AUGGCAAGGACUCAAACUAGGAGUCAGAAGACCUAUAUUCUCAUUCCAGCUCUGCCACUUACAGAGACUUUGGGGCCCCAACUGCAGCCUGGCUGUCAGGGUUCUCCACAUCAUACAGGAAUGGUUCAAGAUGCUGAGGAGAAGCCACUGUGUUAUGGAGGAGCACAAGUUUACCGUACUGUGAAGAGGCAGCAUUCUCUCCAACUGGGUGCCGUGUGUGGUGUUUCCUGGGCUGCACUCAACAGUCCACGUCUGCGCGCCGCGAGGGAUGACAUAGUCUCAACAACGGAGAACAAGAAUCCUACAAAAUACAUGAACUACUGGAGGAGCCGCCUGGCCAAAUACAUCUAUGGGUAUGGUACUCCAUCCAUCCAUGGCUACCUCUACCAACCACUCUUUCUAGAAGCCUCCAUGACAAAGCACCUUUCUGCUAGAAGAGUUGUGGUUCCUGUGUAGAAAGCUGCAAAGCCCUCAAGAAGAUAAACUGCAAUGUCUUCAGCCCUUGCCAUCUCCUCCGUCUGUCCCAACCUCACCACGCAUGAGAAGAAAGAAAUGGCCAGAACACCCCGCUCCACAGUGCUGUGUCACACGCCGUCAUCUGGACGCUGGCACAGCCAAGACCCAGAAUUUCACAGAAAAUAGUUCCUUUGCUUCCACCUAAUCUCUCUCUACUGGAAUGAGGUUGUCCCUGGGGAAGGCUGGGGAACAAGCCUUUCCCUUUCCCACAAGCUCUCCUCCCCUCCCAUGCACCCAAACACAUCAACUCCUGUAGGUCAAGACCCUCACCAGCACAUUUUUGGCUUGGGCUGACUCAGAACCACUCUGGCACUCUGUCAUUAAGCUAAGGGAGAAAAAAAAUUAAACUAAACAUGUAAACAGAAUAGAUGGUCUGCAUGUACGUAAGUUCCCAUUCUAUCGAUGUUUCCAAGAAAGGAGAUUUAUCUUUCAUACUGUGAAUUUACCAUCACUGGUACUGUUUGUUAAGGUCUGAAGGAUGUUCGAGAGAACACAUGAGUUUUGUUCUCAUCUCUCAGCGCGAAGUCAUUCCUGGGGACCUGGGCUCCAGGCCAGGUUGCUGGGCCUGUCUAGGGGCCCCUCGGCUGUUACAGGGAAUUGAACAGGGGACCAGAGAUGGUCAUUCCUCCAUGCUUUACAUUAUGCAGGCCCAAUCUUCUACAAAAUAAAUUCUCUUUUUCUAAGAACCACACAUAUUAGAAAUCUUUAAACCCUAUUAAGGCAAAAUUAUAUAAACUGUAUGAAAAACUAAACAGAGGUUUUGCAAUACUUUUAUAAAUUAAAACAAAAAAUGAAUUCCAAGGCCUAAAUUUCAAUGAUGGUGUUUCUUAUACAGAAAUAUUUCCCUUGAAACUGCCUCCGUAACUUUAGGAAAACAAUACUGCAAUGACAUUUAUUACAAUACUUUUUAUAUAUGGCUUUAUCAUAUAUACAACUUAUUUUCAUAUCUUUCUCAAAAGAGAAAUAUCAUCCUUCUGGAACUUCCCUUAUCUUUACUUCUGCCAACCCCAAGGUAUAUAAUCACGCACUCCUCAUAAUCCCAGAGCAGCAAGGAGCAGUGACCACAGACAGCUCUUUCUGCCCACAAGUUCUGUCCUCACCCUUUAAUAAAACCGCCAUUUUGCUCUGGAUAAAAAAGAAAGAGAAAGAUCAGAGUUUAAUUAUUUCUUUAGGACAGGUUGGGAUGUUAUUUGUUGUUUUGGGGUUGUUGUUAUUGUUUAGAGAGGGGAGAGGGGAGGCAGAAGUAUGGACAGAAUAUUAAAAGAGGCUCCAAGCCCAGUGCCAAGCCCAACAUGAGGCUCCAUCCCACGACCCUGAAAUCAUGUCCUAAGCCUAGAUCAAGAGUUGGACACCUAACCAACUGAGCCACCCAGGCACCCCUACAAGAGUUCUUUUUAAAAAUCUGAUUUAUCUGAUUAUCCUUUCUUGAUAAUUCCAUGGAAAGCUGCUAACCCUGAUUCCCUGGGUAUUAAUACUGUUUUUUUAAAUAUAUAACUACCUUAUUUCUAUACAUUCUUUCAAAAUAUAUACUGAUUUGCCUUGUUUUGUUUUGUGUGGGUUUUUUUUUUAAGAUUUUAUUUAUUUAUUUGACAGACAGAGAUCACAAGUAGGCAGAGAGGCAGGCAGAGAGAGAGAGAGGAGGAAGCAGGCUCCCCGCUGUGCAGAGAGCCCAAUGUGGGGCUCUAUCCCAGGACCCUGGGAUCAUGACCUGAGCCGAAGGCAGAGGAUUAACCCACUGAGCCACCCAGGUGCCCCUUGUUUUGUGUUUUUAAGGUAAUCCUGAGAAACAGUAUUUAUUUUUCAUUCCCAUAUUUCAUGGACAGAUUUAUUUUUGUACUUCUGAAGACACUUAGGAUAUUCUGCUUAUUUUUCAUAAGACUGUCAAGGUACAGGAUCUCUGUAGGCCGGAAAGUAGAGCACUUCAAUCUUGAAACUCAAACCCGUCCGCUCUAAGUACCUUCCGGUAUUUAUUUUAUUUUCUCCCAUCCAUGUUCUCUGUUCUCUUCUUUUGGGGCUUCUAUUAGAUACUGCAUCUUCUGGGUGGUUUCUGUAUAAGGUUUUGUCUUUUUAUCUGUAUUCCAGAAGACUAUCUCAACUUUGCUUUCCAUAUUUUCUAUUCCUUCAUGUUAUUUGUGUUUAAUUUACCAAUUUAAAUCAUUCUUUUUGUUUUAUGGUUAUAAGUCUUGUUGAAUCUUGUUGGCUAUAUUAGGCAUCUUGUCUUUUUUUAAAGUUUCUAGUCUCUAAAUUGUCUGUUUCCCCUAGGGUCAUGUUUUCUACUUGUGUAUUUUGUUCUUUCCCUUAUAUCUUGCUAACGCUCUUCAUAUUCUUUUGAACAGUUUUUGACUAAGAACUCUCUGUGUGGUGUGGGGAAGAGUCCAGUGUCAGGCUUUAGACAACCCAUUUCCUCCUGUGAGAAGGGUUUCAUUCUUGGGUACUAUUUUCCACACAAAAUGCCUUCAUGUUCCCCACACAUAUUUUCAAUGUCUUUAGAGAAAAUCCAGGCUUUUCCUGGAAAAAUACUGUAUUACAGAGUGCCCUCCAAUGGGAACAGCAGGCAGGGAGGUGCGGUGAUACAGACUGCCAAUAAAUUAUCUUGUUUGAACUUCUCCCUCCUUCUCCCCCCCUUCCUCCUUCUCCUUCUUCUUCUUUUUUUUUUUUCUUCUGUCUUUUAAAUAGCCUUAUCUAGGUAUCAUUGAUAUAGGCAUUAAUACCUUUGUCCAUUACUUUUAAGACACUAAUCAUCUUGCAAAAUUUUUAUCCCCAAACAAUCUGAAAAUUUAAUAGAACUGAAACAAGUGGGAAUUUUUCCCCCUCUCAAAAACUUUUUUCUUCCAAGAUAUUUAAGUUACAAAUCAGUACCAAUAUUUUUAAAUGUUUAGAGAUGAAAGUAUGCUACAUAGCUUAUUUGAGUUUCUAUUUACUUAUUUCAUCAGCUAAAAACAAUUAUACUUGCUAGUGUAAUAAUGAGUAAUGCAUGCAUAAUAAGAAAAUGUCUCUUUAUAAUAGUUGCC
rnacentral:lncRNA from 1 species